rnacentral:rRNA from 1 species
GAUGAACGCUGGCGGCGUGCCUAAUACAUGCAAGUCGAGCGAACAGACGAGGAGCUUGCUCCUCUGACGUUAGCGGCGGACGGGUGAGUAACACGUGGAUAACCUACCUAUAAGACUGGGAUAACUUCGGGAAACCGGAGCUAAUAACGGAUAAUAUAUUGAACCGCAUGGUUCAAUAGUGAAAGACGGUUUUGCUGUCACUUAUAGAUGGAUCCGCGCCGCAUUAGCUAGUUGGUAAGGUAACGGCUUACCAAGGCAACGAUGCGUAGCCGACCUGAGAGGGUGAUCAGCCACACUGGAACUGAGACACGGUCCAGACUCCUACGGGAGGCAGCAGUAGGGAAUCUUCCGCAAUGGGCGAAAGCCUGACGGAGCAACGCCGCGUGAGUGAUGAAGGUCUUCGGAUCGUAAAACUCUGUUAUUAGGGAAGAACAAAUGUGUAAGUAACUAUGCACGUCUUGACGGUACCUAAUCAGAAAGCCACGGCUAACUACGUG